GAAGCGUCGUCUUCGUCACGCAGGAGUUGUCUCUCUUUGCUUACCUCGUCAAAGUGCCUCAUUUUAAUUUAGCGCCCUUUUCGAUGAAUUGUAAACCCCGGCGUUGAGCAACAUGGAAAGCAUGGCUGGAAGUGGAAUGAAGUUGACUGACCAACUGUGAGGAAAACAAAUUUGAAACAGACGAAUAAACAGUCAAGAUUUUACUCAAAAUAGACCACACGUUUGGUGGUGAU
rnacentral:lncRNA from 1 species